AGCCGGCGAAGGUGAACAUUCAGCUCCAACUCUACGUGCAGAAAACGAGAGGCUACCGUGGAACCAUCCAACAUCAACCCCGGACCCAGAAUGGACGGACCAAAAACACAGUAACAACACUUUGUUCUGCAGCUUCCAUUUUCCAAUGGGAAAGAGAAAUGGCCCUGUAUUUCCAAGAAAAGGUAGCUCAUCCACCUUGGCAGAAGAGGAAGAUCCAGACUGUUGACUGGUGAACAAGAACAAACAAUGAGGCAUGAGGAUUGGGUGUUGAGGGACCACUUGUCACAUUGUCCAAUUCCAAUAGGAGUGCAUCCCUCAGACCAUCCGGUGCGUGGACAUCCUGUGCCAGUGUGAUCCGAGACUACAGCAGAUCAAGCCUGUGGACGGAUAGACAAGAGGCGUGACAUGCGGAACAUCAGGCUCACCCCACGAGAAGCAGUGCAUGAUCAACGUCACCCUCAGCAAGGCAAUCUGCUGGAAGUGAUGUACGGUCUCUCUCACUCUGGGGGUAAGACUUAUAAAUUCCCACUGUGCCCAUGAUAAAAUGCAAUGUGAAUGGUGUUGUACUACUGAAUGAAACUGUUAGGAGAUGCACUCAAAAUGUAACUUACGUUGACUACAUUACUUUAGUUUUCUACUUUGAGCAAAACUUGAAUGUAAUAUAACCUAUUGUUUGUGUAUGAUCUGUAUUCAUUGUUCACUUGUUUUCAACAAUGUUAGGUCCAAGCACUCGGGCCUUCAGCAAGUAAGACACAAGGGGUACAAAAUAAUUUGUACAUCACAGAUAUAAAUUCCCACUGUGCCCAUGAUAAAGGUUAACUACAUUACUUUAGCUGGCUGCUUUGAACAACACUUGUAUGUAAUAUAACUAGGGCUGUCAUACAAUAAAUAAAUAAAAAUCA